GGGGAGGUAGUCAGGGUGAUCUCCCUACAUAACUAUGCACAUGACCAUUCUGUGUCCUCUAACGUGAACAGGGGUGAGCCAAAAACCUGGUAUGGAGUCCCAUCGCUUGCAGCGGAACACUUGGAAGAAGUGAUGAAGAAGCUGACACCUGAGCUUUUUGAUAGCCAGCCUGAUCUCCUUCACCAACUCGUCACCCUCAUGAAUCCUAACACGCUCAUGUCCCAUGGUGUGCCGGUGAGUGCCCAGAAACCAUAGGAAGGUAUAGGAAUGAUGUACUGAUGACUUUUAUGCUAGCAAUUGUAGUCUUCACUUGUGGUUUAUCCCUGCUUUCUCUUAUUCCUCUUCUGCCUUGAUGGGACUGUUUUGAGGUCUGUGAUCAUCGUGGUUGGUUAGAUAUGCAAUGUGAUAGUGAGUUCUUUCCAUGGGUUUGAGGGAUACUUUAGGCUACCUUAGGGAUAGCUUGUUAUCAUCUCUAGGUUCUAGCUAGUAAAAAAGGGAAUGGAGAGAGGACAGGUUUAGAAAGUCUUUUUGCCAGGCACUGGUUGCGCACGCCUUUAAUCCCAGCACUCGAGAGGCAGAGGCAGGUGGAUUUCUGAGCUCGAGGCCAGCCUGGUCUACAGAAUGAGUUCCAGGACAGCCAGGGCUACACAGAGAAACCCUGUCUCGAAAAACCAAAAAAGAAAGUCUUUUUGCUUUUCUUUUUAAUUAUAUAUAUUUUUGUGUGUAUGUGUGUGCCUAUGUUUCUGUAUAUGCACCACGUGUGUUCUGUGCCCAUGGAGGCCAGAGAAUAAGGGUGUUAAAUCUCCUAGAAUAGAAGUUAUAGGUGGUUAUGAGCCACUAUGUGAGUGUUGAGAACCAAACUCUUCAAGAGUAGCAAAUUCUCUUAUCCGCUGAGCCAUCUCCCCAGCCUGUCCUCUUUAGUAUCUCUGGGCUCUUUGGAUUAGCAGUAUAUAGUCUAAUCCAAAUCACCUGUGAUUUUUGUUUUAACUUGGCAGGCUACAAUUUUGUGUGGUGAUUUUUUUUUUUUUUUUUUUUUUGUAAAUUUUGUACAAUAAAGUUUUGGUAAUCUAAUAAAUUUUUUUUAAAAAAAGUUUUGGUAAAUUAAAAAAAGAAAAAGAGACAGACAGACAAGGGAUGAAAGCAGGUGGUAGAGUACUUGCCUAACAUGCACAAAGCCCUGGGUUCAGUCUCCAGUAUAGCAAAAUGAUCAUAAACACUAGCAAUGAUGUGGGAAGCCCCAAAUAGUGUAGUAAACACAGGGAAGUUCUUCAAACCUUUGAAAAUAAAACUACCAUAUGAUGUAGCAAUCCUUUUUUUUAAUUAUUUUUUUUAAGAUUUAUUUAUUGUAUGUUAGUACACUGUUGCUAUCUUCAGACACACCAGAAGAGGACAUCAGAUCCCAUUACAGAUGGUUGUGAGCCACCAUGUGGUUGCUGGGAAUUGAACUCGGGACCUCUGGAAGAGCAGUCUGUGUUAACUGCUGAGCCAUCUCUCCAGCCCAUGAUGUAGCAAUUCUACUACAGGUUCUAUAACCAAAGGAAACAAAAUUGGCAUUUUGAAAAGAUAUCUGCACUCCCAUGUUUAUUGUAACACUAUUUACAAAACAGCCAAGAAAAGAAAACCUGCCUAAGAUGUCUAAAUUAAAGAAAAUGUAAUAUAUAAUAUACACACUGGAAUGCUAUUCAGAAAUUAAAAAGGAUAAAAUCAUAUUAUUUGUGACAUCACAGAUGGAACUGGUGAGCACUACAUUAAAGCUUUGUUUAAGUCUUUGUACCAUGUCAUGUGUGUCACCCAACCCCAACAUACACACUUCCCUUCCUUUGGGAAAGGUCAUUUAUUUUUAAAAAGCAUAUCUCCUUUCCCAAAAAUGGAAAAUUGAUCAUUCCCUAUUCCAACUAUCCUAAACAUAUGUUAUAUUUCCGUGGUGAUUUUUUUUUUAUGUCAAGUUUGAUAUAUCAGUAAAACUGUGAAUUUAUAAUUUCUUGUAUGUAUUUCUAGCUUAAUACCCAUUAGUCACAUGUGGCCACCAAGCAUUUCAGAUGUGUCUAGUCCCAUAUCAAAUGUACUGAGAGUAUAAAAUGGAUGUUGUAAUUCAAGAUUUAGUACUAAUGUAAAGUAUAGAGUAUCUCAUGAAUACUUUUGUUUACUACCUAAAUACCGAGACAACAAUAUUCUGGCUUUGUUAAGUAAAAUACACUAAAAUUAUUUUAUGUUUUUUUCAAACUUGUUUAUUUAUAUAUAUUUUUUUAAUGUGGCUACUAAAGAAUUUUAAAAUAGCCAGGCAUGAUGUUAUGUGCCUUAUAACAUGAACUGUUUGAGAAGCUGAGUCAAGAGUUCAAUGCCUGUAGCUCAGCAGAACAUUUGUCUAGCAUUCACAAGGGCCUGUGUUCAGUAUCUGUGCUCUAGCAGUACCAGGCAAGGAAAGAAACUUUUUCCAAGUACCUUUGUGCUUAGAAAUAUACUUGGUAUAUUUCUCUUGACAGUGCUGGUCUAUAACUACUAUUGUAUUUUUUAAAAACAACUUUAUUGCAGUAUGACCUGUAUUGUGUAAAAUUCAUCCAUUUUAAGUGUAUAACCUAGAUGUCCUUAGAGAUGUUUGCUGUUGUCACUGUAAUUCAGUUUUAAAACAUUUUUGCCACCCCAGAAAAACCCCUUAUUCACAGUCAUUCUCCAUUCUAUCCUAUAGGACUAGGUGACUGUUUAAUUUUCUGGUUCUAUAUUUGCCUUCCUUGCUUGUUCAUACAAGUAGAAUACUGUUUGGUCUUUUGUGGGGGGCUUCUCUCAGUGGGUCUUAGAGACCUGAGUUUGAACUCCAGGGUCCAUGUAGUGAAAGAACCAUAUUUCUCAUUUUUAAUAGCUGUAAAAUAGAAUGACUACUUCUUGUUGUUUGUUUUGUUAUUGAGUUACUGUUUCACUGUGUAACCUAGGCCAGCCUUAAACUUGUUAGGUAGUUCAGCCUGACAUCAAACUUGUGAUUCUCCUACAUUAGCCUUCCAGAUGCUGGGAUUGUCGAAAUGUACCUGCAAAUGUAUCUGGAUAGGGGUGUUUUUUUUAAAGUACCAUGAAACGAACAGAAAAGUAACACUGGCAAAAUAAGCUUAAGAGGAAAUUAGGAACAUUCUUUUCCUGGUCUGCUAGCUGAGGCUUCUCUGGAACUUGGUUUUUACAUCUAUGAAAUUAUAAAAUAGAUAUUGCUAAAGUACUUUCUGUGUAUAAAACCACUGGUCACCACCCUGAAGGUCAAUAAAACAAUUCCUGCCUUGGGUGUGUGCCCAUAAGUGGAAGAAAGAGAACAGUAAACAAUUAAAAUAAGUUGGGAGACACCAUAGAACAGCAGAGUGGGCCUUUUAGGAUUUGCGUUAUCUGGACCAGGUUUUUAAAAGUAUUUAUAUAUUUAAUUUGUUUCUUUAAAUAAGAAGUUUCACAAAGUUUUAGAAGGUGAACAUUUGGGGCUAUCCAUUUCACAGUCCUAUUUAAAAGAGUAAGAAUUUACCUGCUAAACUUUAUCUAUGUAAUCAUGAAAUUUAUUCUAGAGGCUUUGGGUGAGGCGUGCCAUAGAGGAGUUGUUGUUGUUAUUAUUUACAAAACAUUUCUGGUGAUUGGUGGAAGCCAUAGCAAUAAUAAAAGCAAGAAGUGUUUUGAGGCUGACUUUAUUUAAGAAGAAAAUGUGAUGGUGAUACAUCAUCAAUAGGAAGAUUUAUAUUAGAUAUUGAUAUGCUUCAAAUUUUUCUGGAAUUGUAGCAGAUUUACUGAGCUGAAACAAACCAGGUUCUUGAUGUGUAUUAGCAGGUUAGUGAGAUGGCUAUAUAGUCAAAGAUCAUGGCUUUAACCUCUCGCACCAAGUAAAUAAAUAAU
rnacentral:lncRNA from 1 species